rnacentral:rRNA from 1 species
UACAGAGGGUGCAAACGUUGUUCGGAUUCAUUGGGCUUAAAGGGCACGUAGGCGGUCGGCCAAGUCGGAUGUGAAAGCCCUCGGCUUAACCGAGGAACGGCAUCCGAAACUGGCCGGCUCGAGCGGAGAAGGGGAGAGCGGAACUUCCGGUGGAGCGGUGAAAUGCGUAGAUAUCAGAAGGAACGCCGGUGGCGAAAGCGGCUCUCUGGUCUCCUGCUGACGCUGAGGUGCGAAAGCCAGGGGAGCAAACGGG